rnacentral:rRNA from 1 species
GGUAAGUUCCGACCUGCACGAAUGGCGUAACGACUUCCCCACUGUCUCCAGGACAUGCUCAGCGAAAUUGAAUUCCCCGUGAAGAUGCGGGGUUCCCGCGGUUAGACGGAAAGACCCCGUGCACCUUUACUGCAGCUUCAGAGUGGCAUUAGGAAGAAACUGUGUAGCAUAGGUGGGAGGCUUUGAAGCGUUGGCGCCAGCUGACGUGGAGCCAUAGGUGAAAUACCACCCUGUUUGUUUCUGAUGUCUAACCUCGAUCCAUGAAACUGGAUCAGGGACCCUCUGUGGCGGGUAGUUUGACUGGGGCGGUCGCCUCCUAAAGAGUAACGGAGGCGCGCAAUGGUGGGCUCAGGACGGUUGGAAACCGUCUGUUAGAGUGCAAUGGCAUAAGCCCGCCUGACUGCGAGACUGACAAGUCGAGCAGAGACGAAAGUCGGUCAUAGUGAUCCGGUGGUCCCUCGUGGAAGGGCCAUCGAUCAACGGAUAAAAGGUACGCCGGGGAUAACAGGCUGAUAACCCCCAAGAGCUCAUAUCGACGGGGUUGUUUGGCACCUCUAUGUCGGCUCAUCACAUCGUGGGGCUGGUGC